rnacentral:rRNA from 1 species
CAGUCGCCACGGGAAUACAGAGGGUGCGAGCGUUAAUCGGAUUUACUGGGCGUAAAGCGUGCGUAGGCGGCUUCUUAAGUCGGAUGUGAAAUCCCUGAGCUUAACUUAGGAAUUGCAUUCGAUACUGGGAAGCUAGAGUAUGGGAGAGGAUGGUAGAAUUCCGGGUGUAGCGGUGAAAUGCGUAGAGAUCUGGAGGAAUACCGAUGGCGAAGGCAGCCAUCUGGCCUAAUACUGACGCUGAGGUACGAAAGCAUGGGGAGCAAACAGGAUUAGAUACUCGAGUAGUCCCUGUCUCUUAUAA